CUUCCUUAGCAUGAGGUUGACACCACCAUGCCUGAGAGCUUCUUGGGCUCAUGGCCCAGGGUCUCUGAAUUCACUGACUCCUUGUAUCUCAGAAGCAACAGAGACAGCCCGUGAAACUUACUUCUGCCAUUUUAAAAGGACACAACCUCGUUUCCUGGCCCAGACAACUUUAAAACCCACACAGGACACCCGGUGUUUUAUUUUAAUUUAAUUCCCCCUUCUUUGGUUUCUGGCAGCACAAGGCAGAAGAUCAGGGGCACAGAGUGAGACAUAAGCCAUCGGAAGCUGCCCUGCCUUUUCCCCUUCACAGGAUACCCGGAGACACCAUGUGGUGUGAGGCGUUCAUUUGCAGAUUCUUUUGGCUGCCCUGUAUCCCUCUUGAUCUCUUAUUUCUGGAAGCUGUGAAUAGAUGCUGGAUAUGGGCUUCUGAGUGCAUCAGUUUAAUCCCUACCCGAUGCCAUCCUCUGCUGUUUUAAACAAUAUAAUCCACCCCAGAAGCCAAUUUGGGAAGCCCUGGCCUUCUCUGCUCCCUAAUUCUCUGGAACUCAAUGCAGGUAUGAAACUAGGGCUCCAGGAGCUAUGGAAGCCAGCGCUAGAAGGUGGGGCUGUGAGAUGGAAGGGUCGUCUGCUGCUCAUAGAGCUGCCCUGUACGACCUCCCUCCACUCUUCUUUGGUGUAAGAAGUAAAUA